UCUCUCCGGAGUGGUGUGUCAUCCUCCUGCGCACCUGAGAUCAAUCUGCUCGUCAGGCAAGGUGUACAAGAGGAGCUGACUGCCAGUACUUCGAUGCCUGAGUGUUAGCCAGUAACGGUCCUCCUGGAUUUCCUGGUUGGCAGUCACGCCGUCCCUCCGUCACCACUGCAUGAGCCUACCUGUCCGUCCUCUGUUCCACUUCCUCGUUGCCUUCUGGACUUCUGUGGCUGAGCUCUGGACUAUCUGGAUCCACAAAGUGACCAAGUCCCCGGACACUUCAGCAAACCCCUCCUAAACUCCGAACCUCCGUCUAACAAUGAGCCGAGCGUUUCUGUGAGCCCGCUUCUCCCCUGGACGAGACCCGUCGCUUCACUAUUUUUUCCAGUUUGUGUUCGCAAUAAACUCACUUAAUUAUAUACGUGUCUCCUGUGUUGUGUUCUGCAUGUGGGCUAGAUAUAUUGAACCCAUCAUGACAGAACACUCAGGCCAGCAAACAAGCCCAGCAGAUGCAAUCAGGAGAACAUUAACUGAACAACACACCCUGCUACAGUCGCACGAAACCGCCUUAAGAGAACUUGGCACACGACAAGCCGAGACCAACCGACAGCUAAUAGAAAUUGCUAAUUUUCUAAAAUGCUCUGUUCCUCCGACUCCUUCCCCAGA